GAAGAGUCUCAAGCUGAGAGAGUCUUCAGCGACUUAGAAGAAGCCAAUGCCUCUGACCUCUUCAACAUCUUCACGUAAGUCACCUAUCUUAGAAUCUCCUCUUACUUAUGGUUCUAGGCAACUUGCCUCAUCACUCCCUCUUCCAACCCCACACUAUCAACCACUGUUACAACAUUAUCUACCUCACCUUCCAUACACACUACAGCUCCUAGAUCAAAAUCCAAAUCUCAACAACCAACAA
rnacentral:lncRNA from 1 species